GAUAACUCGACGGAUAACUCGACGGAUCCUCGACGGAUCGCACGACGGAUCGCAUGGAUCGCAUGGCCUUCGCAUGGCCUUUGUGCCGGCGACGCAUCAUUCAAAUUUUUUCCCUAUCAACUUUCGAUGGUAGGAUAGGGGCCUACCAUGGUGGUGACGGGUGACGGAGAAUUAGGGUUCGAUUCCGGAGAGGGAGCCUGAGAAACGGCUACCACAUCCAAGGAAGGCAGCAGG
rnacentral:ncRNA from 1 species